ensembl:lncRNA
AUACCCCUCCACAACAAAGAAUAGCUCCACUAAGAUGAGACUUGAGAAUGUAAACAGAUUGAUAAAUGCUUGUUUAGACAGAGAAAAAUAGGGUUGAAUGGCUCCCAAACCUAGAACUGAAGUGAAAGAUGCUUUUCUUCUUUUUAAAAAUAUAUUUAUUUUUUACUUAUUUUAUUUAUUUAUUUGUCUGCACUGGGUCUUAGCUGUGGCAUGUGGGAUCUAGUUUCCUGACCAGGGAUCAAACCUGGACCCCCUGUAGUGGAGUGUGGAGUCUCAGCCACGGGACCACCAGGGAAGUCCUAAAGAUGUUUAUUUCUGAGUUCAAAUCAUUCUGCUUUGCUUCUUUUCUUCUCUAAAUUUUGGACAGAAAUGCUCCCUUCAUUUCGAGAUUCUAAUUUCUCAAAAUUAACCUGGGUAUUAGCCAACUGUGGGGUCCAGGUCUGUUGACAUGCACACCUUUACUUCUCUCUUUUAAAAACAACCAGAAACUAAUUAUUAUAUUUUGACUGCACAGCGUGGCUUGUGGAGUCUUAGUGCCCCGACUAGGAAUUGAACCCUGCACCCUGGGCAGUGAAAGUGCAGAGUCCUCUUCCCUGGAUGGCCAAGGAAUUCCCAACAACCAGAUUAUUAUUGCUCCUUCACUUAAAUCUUACUCUUCUUCCCUGCCUUAUGAUCCAGAGCAGUUAAUAACUUUAUAUAAAGAAGUUCUUUAUAUAAAGAGCUUUUAAUAAAGAAUGUCUACAUCCACUCCAUUUAAUCUAGUAGAUGGAAUAAUUUUGAGGGGGAAACAAUAGCUAAUUUCCAUUUUCAUAAUGCAUCACAAAACACCCUCCCAGUGUCUGUUAAAAUGAUCCUGACCAAGUCAUAUCUACCAUUCAACACUAAUGCCUCAAAAGUGUUAUUUUGCACAUAAAUUGCUAUUUUGUACAUAACCUCAUGAAUGGCUCCCAAACCUAGAAAAAGAUACUGUUAUAUCUAUUUCAAGAUUUUCUUCAAUUUUCAGUUCUUACAUAAGGAAAGAGUUGUUUGCUGACACCUGCCUGUUUUCUUCUAGCUGUCCAUAUAUCAUUCUAUAUCACUUUCAAUAUUAUGUUUUGGCUUUUAUUAAUCAUUUUUCCCAUGUGUGUAUGUGUGGCAUCAUUAGAAAUGCUUAAAAUAUGCUAAUUGGGCACUUUGGGCUUAGUUGCUCAGUCAUGUCUGACUCUGCGACUCUGGACCGUAGCCCACCAGGCUCCUCUGUCCAUGGGGAUUCUCCAGGCAAGAAUACCGGAGUGGGUUGCCAUGCCCUCCUCCAGGGGAUCUUCCCAACCCAGGAAUCGAACCCAGGUCUACCACAGUGCAGGUGGAUUCUUUACCGUCUGAGCCACCUGGGAAGCUCGUUUUAGCUUAGGAACACUAAAACGUUUUGCUUAUGAGCUUGUUGAUGGCAGGGGCUAUGAAUCUCAGAGGCUGUUUUAUCCCAAAGUUCAUGAAGCUAAAACCGUAGGGUGCCUAGUAGUUCUUUCUUCUAAGCCUCAUGUUCGCCUCCAGGGACUUGGGGAGGAAGAAGCCCUAGCCACACACCAAAGUCAUGACCUACUGCUUUUGACUGGAAACUUUGGAAGCAAGAAUACUAUUUUAAUGAUUUAGAUAAGAAAUGAGGGUCUGAACUAGGACCCAGAAAGACUCAAAGGAAUGAAAAUAACACAUGGUAAUUUAGAAUUGCUUUUCAUAUGCAUUGUGUGCUAUUGUUUCCACUUGGCUUUGUAUUACAUGAAAGGAAAAAAGUUCACACUAGCUUAAAUUGUAAAAGGAACUUAUUGGUUCAAAAGAAUUGAUGCUUUGGAACUUUGGUGUUAGAGAAGACUCUUGAGAGUCCCUUGGACUGCGAGGAGAUCAAACCAGUCAAUCCUAAAGGAGAUCAGUCUGGGUGUUCUUUGGAAGGACUAAUGCUGAAGCUGAAGCUCCUAUACUUUGGUCACCUGAUUCGAAGAGCUGACUUGUUAGAAAAGACCCUGAUGCUGGGAAAGAUUGAAGGCAGAAGGAGAAGGGGAUGACAGAGGACAAGAUGGUUGGAUGGCAUCACUAACUCAGUGACAUGAGUGUGAACAAGCUCCAGGAGGUGGUAAAGGACAGGGAAACCUGGUGUGCUGCCAUCAUGGGUCACAGAGGGGCACGACUGAGCGACUGAACAACAAAGUUGGUUCAGAAUGUGAAAACUCCAGGGCCAGUAAUAACAUCAAGUGUGGCCUGUUUCAUAGCUCAGGCCAUGUGAUGACCACAGCCCACAGUCUCUUCAUCCCUCUACUCUGCCACCAGUGGAGCCUUCUCCCUCAUCACUUCGCUGAACGCUAACAACCCUAGACUCCUCUGCAUCACCAAAUUAGAGCUGCCUCAGUUUCAGGCUUCAUGUCCUUGCAUAACUUUGUGUUUCUCUUUAGGAAAAAUCAUAGGAAACACAAAAUCGCACACAAAGGAGCCUACGUUUUAGGUUGCAAAAGGAAAUCACAACAAACUACAAAAGUUAAAAGCUGACACAUAAUCAGAUUAUUACAAAAUCAGCAUCGUACUUUAUUAUUAGUUAACUGGCUGAUAUAUAUGUCUAGAAUAUCUUCUUUCUACAUGUUAGGCUACGUAAUCUUUGAACAGGACUCCCCAGGUGGUGCAGUGGUAAAGCAUCUGCCUGCCAUUGCAGGAGACCCGAGAGACAUGGGUUCAAUCCCUGGGGUGGGAAGAUCCUCUGGAGUAGGAAGUGGGAACCCACUCUAGUAUUCUUGUCUGGAAAGUCCCAUGGACGGAGGAGCCUGGCGGGCUACAGUCCAUGGGGUUGCAAAGGGUCGGACAUGACUGAGCACACAAUCUUUGAACAUCUCUUCAAAUGAUGAUUUUGUAAUAUUUUCUGUAGAGAAUAUGGAAGUUAAUUCAAUCUUUCACCUAUUAGAGUUGAUGUUUAAAUUUUAUUAUUACUUCCAGCUUAUAAAAAUUUUUUCCCCCAGUUUCACAACUUGUUUUUGGAACCAUCCCUUUUGCAAAUUCCUCCAUAGUUUCUUGCUUAGGUGAAGUAUGAAUGUUUGCUGUUUCCAGAACACACCAGAUGCUUUUGUAUCAUUAAUCACAGUGUUCCUUAAACUGAGUGUAUUGUUUUCCUUUCUUGGCUCUUUCAGAAGCUCGUUAGCAUGUAAGUUGCUUCCUUUUGGAAGCCCUCUGAGGUUUCCUUACCUAAUUUCUAUGUCUCCUGCAGUGUCACUGCACUCUGCCUGCACUUCUCUCCCAGUAUUUACUUUACUUUGCCUUUUUUUUCUGUUGUUGUUGUUUAAAAUUUUUUGGCUGUGCAGUGAGGCAUUUGGGAUCUUAGUUCCCUGACAAAGGAUUGAAUCUGCACCUGCGCAGUGAAAGUGCAGAGUCUUAACCACGGAAAUGCCAGGGAAGUUGCUCCUUCUUUUACAGAUGACAAUUUAUGGGAUAUCUCCUAAAAGGGUAUAGGCUCUUCUGGGGCAGAGGCUGUGUCAGUUUCUUCUAUGUUUUCCCCACAAGACCUGGCAUAGUCCAAGGAGCCCAGCUUGGCAUGACUUGUUUAGUGAGUCCUUACAGGUAUUUCCUAAAAAGAGAUACCUAGCUACCACCCGCUUUGACAGUCUUAGGUUCUGAACCAUUAAUCUUGACUUUCUUAAGAUUACUGGUGCUCUCAUCUUUAUAGGAUAUCAACUUUUCCUUCCCUCCUUUCCCAUUCUUAUCUUGCUCUUUGGAUGAAGGCACUUUUCAUUCAAUAAAUACUUAUUGAGCCCCUUCCAGGUAUUGGAACUGAUGCUGAAUAGAUACCUGGCCUCUGUGUACUGGUAUCUAAUCAAAUCUCAGAGACAGAUUUUUGGGUGUAGUAGGAAAAAAAAAAUGGCUUUAUUGGUUUGCCAGGCAAAGGGGGACACAGCAGCCUCCUACCCCUCAAAACUGUGUGUCCCAAGCUGGGAGGAUUUGGCGAAGUGUUUCAUGGCAGUUGUUCCAGGGCAGGGUUGCUGAUAAAAAUUAGAGUGUGUGCAGGGCCUGUACUCUUUUAAUCUGGUCCCAGGUGGUCUCCUCUGGAAUGAAGAUUGCUGUGGUUAUGGCUCAGUCAUGUCCAGCUCUUUGUGACCCCCAUGGACUAUAGCCUGUGGGCUCCUCUGUCUGUGGGAUUCUCCAGGCAAGACUAUUGCAGUGGGCUGCCAUGCUCUCCUUCAGCGGAACCAACCCAGGGAUCGGCUGGUUCACAACCCAUCUCUGUGGUGUCUCCUGUAUUGGAGACAGAUUCUUUACCACUAGCUCCACCUGGGAACCCAAGGAAUGCUAAUAUCUUCCACUUGUUGGGGUUUUAGCUCUGUUAAGAGCUCAAAGAUAUUGUUAUUGUAUCCCUUGAGGGAGAACCAGGGCUUACGUGGUGGCUCAGAUGGUAAAGAAUCUACCUGCAAUGAAAAAGACUCUGGUCCUAUCCCUGGGUCAGCAAGAUUGCCUGGGCAAGGGCAUGGCAACCCACGCCAGUAUUCUCACCUGGAUAAUUCCAUGGACAGAAGAGCCUUGUGGGCUACAGUCCACAGGGUUGCAAAGAGUCGGACACGACUGAGUGAUUAACCCUUUCUUUUCCUUUCCUGUAUCCCUGAUUAGUAACUGUUCAAAUCUGCCCUUUGGAUGUUAGGGAAGGUCAUGGGGACUGGAGUCUAUUCUCUGCAAGAAAUGGGAGACACUGAGAGGCUUCUGUGCCCAGGAACCCCAUAAUGUCCUGCUUGGUUUCACAACUAGGGAUGAGCAAGCAGUUUAAUCUCUGCCUGCAUGAAGUGCUUAUUCUGGUUGGGGUCGGGUGGUGGGAGUGGGAAAAACAAACAACAAACAAGUGAACAAAUAAAUACAUGAGGACAUUUCAGAGUGUGACAAGUUCUAAGGAAAAUAGCCAGGAAGAUGUGAUACAGAACAAUGUGGUUACAUGGUCAAGAGCUGAGUAGUGGGGAAGGCUUGACAUCAAUAAGAACCUACCUUCUCUACUAACGUCACUAGAGUUGUCUGGGGUGAUGCCCUUCCUAACUCCCCAGAUCCCAUGUCCCAUUCUUGGCACUGCCCCUGAUGAUGGGAGCAACAGACAUGGGGCCAAGAAAGGCUUGUACUCUUGAAGUGGAAGCAUCCAUUUAAUGUAGUCAGUGCUCUGCUGGGAGCUGGGCAGGGUCUCUGAGGAGCUGCAGUGCUUAGGACUCAUGAUAUGCUAGGCUUUCUCUUCUGGGUGAUUUUUUCCAAAUGCUAUGCAAAAGGAAAAGGAAAGAAAUAAAGACUGAAAAUUCUGUCAGUGAAAAGAUGGGAGACUCUGUAUCUUUUUUUCCUGCUGUAGCUCUUGAUUUGAUAAUGAUCUUGAUAAUUUGUAAAUUGCUUUUCCAGCUUCUUAGUUCUCUGUGCCCAUGUUUUUUUUUCUUCUGUCUCAGCUGGCAUGUGCUUUCUCUUUCUCUUAAGUUAAUCAGUGGAAUAUGGAAUUCUAAUUUAUUUGGGAAGAGGUAUAUCAGUCUUAUUCUGAGUCAUGGUAGAGAUGGGGACAAAGAGCCUAAUAGGUGGGACUUCACUUUAUAGUCAAGGAUUUAAGAACAGAUAAGUCCAGGUGGUUCUUUGUAACAGCACAUAAACAUUGGGAAUGACAUUAUCUAAAGAUGAGAAAUAAGAAUGGGGUUUUCCUACUUAAAGCUCUGGCUUCUUUGGGAAGUGCCUUUAUAGUAAGCAUUACAAGGACAUUUCUUGCUGAAAUCAGGUGCAACAUAAAUGAUAUUUCCCUGAAUUAUAAUUAGGAAUAAUUUUGAAUUCUUAGAAUGGAAGAAUGUUGUCUAAUGUUAUUCAUAGUUUUUCUUUUUUUAAAAAGAACACUGGAAUUUCAAAAUCAACUGGUUUAUGCAAGUAAUAAAUGUUCAUGGAAUUACACUCAUCCUAAAAUAAGGCAUUUUACCACAAACUAAUUGAUCCAUACACAUUACAGUGAGUCAUCUGUGUGAAUUUCCAGGACUUUACCUUUGCAACCAUGUCUAGCUCUUGCAUUGAGGUAUUUUUGACAGUCAUUCUCCAAACAAGAUUUGUGCUUCAGCACAAAUAGAUGUGUGAUUAAUAGAAGUUUAAAAAUAAGUUUUUGCAAAUUGCUUGCCGCCCCUCCCCCCUUUGCCAAUUUGUCACCUGUGCUAAGUGGAUAUGGAGACAAUUUAAUGAAUACAAUUUACCACAGACUUGAGCAAAAAAUAAAUUUGAUUCUGGAGCACCACAAAUUACAGAAUCUCGGAAAUGAAAAGAACACUGAAAGGUCAUCUGGUUUGUCCUUCUUCAUUCAGACAGGUUUGCACUUCUCAUUAUAGCCUCGCAAGAAUCUAUCCUAAUUCCAAAGACAUCCUGGGAAGCCGAUUUCACCAGCUCUCUCGUUAUCGCUAAUAUGAAGCAUCCAUCACUUGUAGAAAAUUUGUCUGAAGGACAUCUAAUUUCCUCACACUGGAGUUUAUUCACAUUUCCUUUAAAUGAGUCUUCAGUGAUGACCACAUAAAAUUUCUGUUAACCAACUACUCAAGGGAAAUGAAAUUGAGGAGGUAGUGCUUAUAAAGCUCUCAGAACAGGGUGUGGCAUGUAAUAAGCUCUCGGGACACGUUGCUACCUGCUAGGUCAUUUCAGUCGUUGUCAGACUCUUUGCAACCCUAUGGACUGUAGCCCACCAGACUCUUCGGUCCGUGGGAUUCUCCAGGCAAGAAUUCUGGAGUGGGUUGCCAUACCCAACUCCAGGGUAUUUUCCCAACCCAGGGAUAGAACCCAUGUCUCUUAUGUCUCCUGAAUUGGGAAGCAGGUUCUUUACCACUAGCAGCACCUGGGAAGCCCUCCGGACAUGUUAGUUGCCAGGAUAACAAUUAUGAUCAUCACUAGAGAAGGAGAGGUCAGAGUCCCUGUCUGGUGAUAAAGGAACAUGAAGUCAUUUUGGGAUUAUCUGUUUUGCCUGCCUGGUGGUAGUUGACUUAGCUAUUGUAUCCUGGCUCACUAGAAAGGAGUGUAUAAUUAGUUGUUGACAUAGGAGCGGGCAGGGGGCUGGAAGGAAUGGCUACACUUGUGCCAGCUGUUUGCCACUCCCUGAUGAUAUCUGCAUGUCUUUGGAGGCAGGGAGCCCAUCUUACUAGUCUUGAGUUCCUGGUAUUUAGUAUAGUGCCUAGCACAGAAAGACACAGUAUGUGAUAAACACGUACACACUGACUAUUAUAAAAAUUCACUCAACAGAAUAUUUAUGCUAUCAUGUGAGUAUGGUUGGGCUUUCCAGGUGGCUCUAGUGGUAAAGAAUCCACCUGCCAGUGCAGGAGACAUAAGAGACUAGGGUUUGAUCCUUGGAUCAGGAAGAUUCCCUGGAGAAGGAAAUGGCACCCCACGCCAGGAUUCUUGCCUGUAGAUUCCCAUGGACAGAGGAGUCUGGCAGGCUAUAUACAGCCCAUUGAGUCGCAAAUAGCUGGACCCAACUGAAGCAACUGAGCACAAACUGGAAUGGAGAACAAUGCCAGCAAUUUUAUAGACAUUUUGACAGAAGGUAAACAAGUAUUUUGAUGUUGAACAAUUGUACAGACUACUACAUGCAUAUAAGGAUGCCGAUUGGUGCAGAAAUAUUGAGUUGAUUAGCAAAACUACUGAUACAAAAUCACAUUUUUGUUUUAUGGAGUUAAAGUGCAGAAGAUAUGGGAACAUUGAUACAAACACCAUUAAAUGGGAGAGAAAGGCAUUGUAUUAAUGGUGCAGGAUGGACAGCUGCACAAACACAAGUAUGUGAAACCGUUUCCUCUUUACAAAACUGAAAUAAAAACAUCUUGUUUGCAAAUAGGAUGAAAUAAAGCAUGUUGAGGCAGAUGAAUGAGACUAGACAAAACUUACCACUUAUGCAUACAUAAGCUCUGGCCUCUAUUGAGAGUUUGUAUUAAAAACAUUUCAACAUAGUAUGAGAUGAAAUGCUAAUCCUAUUAUGUGUGUAAACCAGACAGGAUAACCCAACUAAGAAAUCUUCAAAAAUGAAAUACUUGAUUGUGCUUCUUUUCCCCUGCAGCAUUCAGAGCGUUCAUAGAUAGUAUGAAAACCCCCUAAAACAUUAAAGUUAAUAAAAGAUAAUGAUGCUUCAUGUGACAGUCCCUAUAAAUCUAAUACCAUAUGUAACUUAGAAAUAUGGAAUUGUAUUACUUGAUGUAUAUGGUAAUUUUAAGAACUAUUAUUAUUUAACUUUGAAUUUCUGACACUAUAUUCCUUAGGUUUUAAAAAUUGUUAUGAGUGUUUUUUAAUCUGGGAGAUGUUAGGAACUCAGUAGACAUUGUUAAAAUCUCUACAGCUUGAGACAAAUAGAAUCAGGUUGUUUAUCAACCUAUUUUAUAGGGAAAUCACCCACAGUUAUUCCCAGGAAGGCUUUUUAUGUGCAUUAAUUACUGAUAAUUUUAUAAGUUCACUGUAAGUUUUCAUAAAAUUACUUUGUGAAUAUUCACAGAAUUGUCCUGAGUUUAACCAGAAGAUAAUUCUAACAUUAAACAUUGAAUUAAUGAGUUUGGGGAGUUAGAUAUAUUGUUUGUAAUAGUUUGUAACUCUAGUUAACCAAAAAUGCAUAAUAUAUGAUUCUGGUUAACCCAAAACCCAGUAAAUUCAGGCUCUACCUCCUGAUCCUAAAUGCACUCAUGUCCACAUGCACACAGACCAACACGACUGCCUUCCCAAAAGGCAGGCAACUUUUCAAAAAAUGUAUGCGAUAAACUUCAGUUUCCUCCAUUCACCUCGCUUGGAGAUUUGCCUUUCUCUUUUAGUUUUUCUUUUUUUCUUUC